rnacentral:misc_RNA from 1 species
CACCAAUACAUUUUAAUGUUGCAGCUACUCUGGGCAGGAAAGUUCUCUGAUUUCUUGUGGGGUUAUUUAUUCGGAGUUUUUGAAGGUAUUUCUUUGGCAAAUAUGCAAAUCAGAUUAGCAUUUCGUAUCUCCUAUGGUAUUUGACAGAUUUUAUAGUUUUAUAGUUUCCUGUUUUGGGUUUCUUAGUAGGAAAUCCUCCUCUAGGGUUAUUGGAUAUGAAAUAUGAACACAACAUGAAAUUUGAACGGUUGGUUUUGCCUUAAGUAUGUUUUUGAGAUGAUCAUACUGCCAUGAUUUUUACUUGUAAUGAUCAUGUCAUGAGUUGACCUGCCAAUAUGGAAUUUGCAUAUUUUUUACUUUGGG